AAACUAGGAUUAGAUACCCUAUUAUUCAAAUUUAAUUAAAAAUUCUUUUUAGGAAUUUACUAACAUAAAAAAUUAAAUUGAUUUGGCGGUUUAUUAAACUUUUUAGAGGAACCUGUGAGUUAAAUUGAUAAACCACGAUUUCUGUUACUUUAGUUUUUCUUGUAUAUCUCUAUAAUUGAAUAUAUUUAAAGAUUAAUUUUCUUCUUUUUAAGUUAAAAUUUAAUUUAGGUCAAGGUGCAGUUAUACUAAUGGCUUAAUGGGUUACAUUAAUUAAAGUUUGUGGUAUUUUAAUUAAAAUUAUUUUUAAAUUGGAUUUAAAAGUAGGGGGGGUUUUAUUAAAAUAUUCGAAUCAUGCUCUAAUUUAUGCACAUAUCGCCCGUCAUUCUCAUUUAUUGAGACAAGUCGUAACAAAGUAGAUGUAUUGGAAAAUGUAUCUAGCGGAUA
rnacentral:rRNA from 1 species